rnacentral:rRNA from 1 species
UGGGGAAUUUUGGACAAUGGGGGAAACCCUGAUCCAGCCAUCCCGCGUGUGCGUUGAAGGCCUUCGGGUUUUAAAGCACUUUUGGCAGGAAAGAAACGUCAUGGGUUAAUACCCCGUGAAACUGACGGUACCUGCAGAAUAAGCACCGGCUAACUACGUGCCAGCAGCCGCGGUAAUACGUAGGGUGCAAGCGUUAAUCGGAAUUACUGGGCGUAAAGCGUGCGCAGGCGGUUCGGAAAGAAAGAUGUGAAAUCCCAGAGCUCAACUUUGGAACUGCAUUUUUAACUACCGGGCUAGAGUGUGUCAGAGGGAGGUGGAAUUCCGCGUGUAGCAGUGAAAUGCGUAGAUAUGCGGAGGAACACCGAUGGCGAAGGCAGCCUCCUGGGAUAACAAUGACGCUCAUGCACGAAAGCGUGGGGAGCAAACAGG